GAUGAACGCUAGCGGCAGGCCUAAUACAUGCAAGUCGAACGAUACCAGAGAGCUUGCUUUCUGGGAAAGUGGCGCACGGGUGCGUAACGCGUAUGCAACCUACCUUAAUCAGGGGGAUAGCCUCUCGAAAGAGAGAUUAACACCGCAUAACAUCAUUUUACGGCAUCGUAGAAUGAUCAAAUAUUUAUAGGAUUAAGAUGGGCAUGCGUGACAUUAGCUAGUUGGUGAGGUAACGGCUAACCAAGGCUACGCUGUCUAGGGGAUCUGAGAGGAGGACCACCGAAACUGGUACGGAGACACGGACCAGACUCCUACGGGAGGCAGCAGUAAGGAAUAUUGGUCAAUGGAGGCAACUCUGAACCAGCGGUGCCGCGUGCAGGAAGACGGCCCUAUGGGUUGUAAACUGCUUUUAUACGGGAAUAAACCUCGCUACGUGUAGGGAGUGGAAUGUACUGUAAGAAUAAGGAUCGGCUAACGCCGUGCCAGCCGCCGCCGUAA
rnacentral:rRNA from 1 species